CAACUUGAGAGUUUGAUCCUGGCUCAGAACGAACGCUGGCGGCAGGCUUAACACAUGCAAGUCGAGCGAAGACUUCGGUCUUAGCGGCGGACGGGUGAGUAACGCGUGGGAACGUGCCCUUCUCUACGGAAUAGUCCCGGGAAACUGGGGGUAAUACCGUAUACGCCCUUCGGGGGAAAGAUUUAUCGGAGAAGGAUCGGCCCGCGUUAGAUUAGGUAGUUGGUGGGGUAAUGGCCUACCAAGCCUACGAUCUAUAGCUGGU
rnacentral:rRNA from 1 species